rnacentral:snoRNA from 1 species
GUGUGUGAAUUGGAUUAUGGCAAGCCUAUCCUAGGCCUCUCAUAAUGUCAGAUGCCAAAGCAAACCAUGACCUUAGUCCAUUGCCUAGCCUCUGUCCAUAGGCUGCUAACACUGGUGUGAAUUACGCAGUG